UUUACAGUAUUAACAGGACGCAGUUCAGAGCACGGACGUUAUUCGCUGUUGUUGUUUUCUACUGAGUGCGUUUAUACACAAAACCACUCAUACUAAGCUGCACCCCAAACUACUCAACUACUCUGCCAUAUUCUCUGCUACCUGUACUACAAUCAUUCACUCAACCAAAUUCAAGGACUGUAAACCUCUACAAGUCUUAAACCAUACUUCGUCUCUGACUGGACGACUUAUGUCUGCUCAAUUUCCAACAGCACCCACACUAGUCUAGCUCACAAUUAUGAAUGACAACGAUCGAUCGCUUUCAAAGAAGCACUGAAUGGUACUGACGUCACCCGCGCCUCCAAUGCAAGGUGGUCUGCAGGAAAAAGUGGAACUUUCUCGAAGGACGGGGCAGGCUACUCUCCAUGACCAUAUUGGGAAGCUCACUAAGUGGAACAGAGCUCCAACCAAUGGCGAGCCAGAUGACGGGCCAAUCAGGAUGCAGGAUAAGUGGAACAGUGGGACAGAAGUGGAACCGAAGAUCGGCUCGCACAGGGCGCAAGGAUGACACGCAAAUUCGUGAAGCGUACCUCAUUUUUUAACGAUUUUUAAUCGUUAAAUGUAAUUAAGAUUAAGCUGGAUUUAAAAAAGUAUUUUUGACGUACAGAGAAAGUGCCUAAAACAUGCACGUAUAUCAAACUGACAGUGACACUUGACAGUGUGGAGGCACUUUAUUCACCAUUUAUUAAUGAUGUAGCAGCAUCCCAAUACAACACAGUCCAGGGGCCCCAGUUUACCCCCCUCUCGCAGUGCGCACUUUGCUGACUGUCUCUGUAAAAAUUAUGUGUCAACAGAAAAGCAACAAAAAAAAACUUCAAACUAAGGACAACUUCAUAAAAUAAAAGUAGUACCGAAUACAGAG